GAUGAACGCUGGCGGCGUGCCUAACACAUGCAAGUCGAGCGGAAAGAUGAGGAGCUUGCUGCUCUGACGUGAGCGGCGGACGGGUGAUUCACACGUGGAUGACCUACCUAUAGGACUGAGAUAACUUCGGGAAACCUGAGCUAACAUCGGAUAAUAGAUUGAACCGCAUGGUUCAUUAGUGAAAGACGGAUUUGCUGUCCCUUAUACAUGGUUCCGCGCCGGAUUAGCUAGUUGGUAGGGUAACGGCUUACCAAGGCGACGAUGCGUAGCCGACCUGAGAGGGCGACCGGCCACACUGGAACUGAGACACGGCCCAGACUCCUACGGGAGGCAGCAGUGGGGAAUCUUCGGCAAUGGGCGAAAGCCUGACCCAGCAAUGCCGCGUGCGGGAUGAAGGUCUUCGGGUCGUAAACCGCUUUUAUUAGGGAAGAACAGAUGUUGACUUAUACAUGCACGUCUUGACGGUACCUAAUCAGUAAGCCCCGGCUAACUACGUG
rnacentral:rRNA from 1 species